CCUACGGGAGGCAGCAGUGGGGGAUAUUGCACAAUGGGGGAAACCCUGAUGCAGCGACGCCGCGUGUGGGAAGACGGUCCUCUGGAUUGUAAACCACUGUCCCCAGGGACGAAGAUGACGGUACCUGGGGAGGAAGCUCCGGCUAACUACGGGCCAGCAGCCGCGGUAAUACGUAGUGAGCGAGGGUUGUCCGGAAUGACUGGGUGUAAAGGGAGCGUAGGCGGGGAUGCAAGUUGGGUGUCAAGACGACCGGCUCAACUGGUAGUCGCACCCAAAACUGCAGCUCUGGAGUGAAGUAGAGGCAGGCGGAAUUCCUGGUGUAGCAGUGAAAUGCGUAGAUAUUAGGAGGAACACCAGUGGCGAAGGCGGGCUGCUGGGCUUUUACUGACGCUGAGGCUCGAAAGUGUGGGGAGCAAACAGGAUUAGAUACCCUGGUAGUC
rnacentral:rRNA from 1 species